rnacentral:rRNA from 1 species
ACUCCUACGGGAGGCAGCAGUGGGGAAUAUUGCACAAUGGAGGAAACUCUGAUGCAGCAACGCCGCGUGGAGGAUGACACUUUCGGAGCGUAAACUCCUUUAUAUAGGAAGAUAAUGACGGUACUAUAUGAAUAAGCACCGGCUAACUCCGUGCCAGCAGCCGCGGUAAUACGGAGGUGCAAGCGUUACUCGGAAUCACUGGGCGUAAAGAGCGUGUAGGCGGGUUAUUAAGUCAGAAGUGAAAUCCUAUUGCUCAACCAUAGAACUGCUUUUGAAACUGGUAACCUAGAGUAUGGGAGAGGUAGAUGGAAUUUCUGGUGUAGGGUAAAAUCCGUAGAGAUCAGAAGGAAUACCGAUUGCGAAGGCGAUCUACUGGAACAUUACUGACGCUGAGACGCGAAAGCGUGGGAGCAAACAGGAUUAGAUACCCUGGUAGACUGUCA